rnacentral:rRNA from 1 species
CGCCUUUUGAUAGGAUAGAAGGUCUAACCUGCCCACUGAAGAAUUUAAAGGGCCGCAGUAUUUUGACUGUGCAAAGGUAGCAUAAUCAUUAGUCUUCUAAUUAAAGGCUGGAAUGAAUGGUUGGACGAGGUGCUAGCUGUCUCACUAAAAUUAAUUUUGAAUUUAGCUUCUUAGUCAAAAGGCUGAGAUGAUAUUGGAGGACGAGAAGACCCUAUAGAUCUUUACAUUUAAAUGGUUUGGUUAGUUUGGAUAAAUUGAAACCUUAACAGGGAAAUGUUUUGUUGGGGUGACGGGAAGAUAGGAACAACUCUUUUUAAAGUAUAACACUGAUGCGUGAUUUAUUGAUCCAUAGAUUGUGAUUAAAAGACUAAGUUACCUUAGGGAUAACAGCGUAAUCUUUUUUGAGAGUUCUAAUCGACAAAAAGGGUUGCGACCUCGAUGUUGGACUAAGGGUUAUUUUCGGGUGUAGCAGCUUGAAGUUUAGGUCUGUUCGACCUUUGAAUCCUUACAU